rnacentral:rRNA from 1 species
AUUGAACGCUGGCGGCAGGCCUAACACAUGCAAGUCGAACGAGCGGCGGACGGGUGAGUAAUGUAUGGGAAUCUGCCCGAUGGAGGGGGAUAACUACUGGAAACGGUAGCUAAUACCGCAUACUAUCAGAUGUGCCCAGAUGGGAUUAGCUAGUAGGUGGGGUAAAGGCUCACCUAGGCGACGAUCCCUAGCUGGUAUGAGAGGAUGACCAGCCACACUGGGACUGAUACACGGUCCAGACUCCUACGGGAGGCAGCAGUGGGGAAUAUUGCACAAUGGGCGCAAGCCUGAUGCAGCCAUGCCGCGUGUGUGAAGAAGGCCUUAGGGUUGUAAAGCACUUUCAGCGGGGAGGCGUUACCCGCAGAAGAAGCACCGGCUAACUCCGUGCCAGCAGCCGCGGUAAUUC